UACGGAGGGAGCUAGCGUUGUUCGGAAUUACUGGGCGUAAAGCGCACGUAGGCGGCGAUUCAAGUCAGAGGUGAAAGCCCGGGGCUCAACCCCGGAACUGCCUUUGAAACUAGGUUGCUAGAAUCUUGGAGAGGCGAGUGGAAUUCCGAGUGUAGAGGUGAAAUUCGUAGAUAUUCGGAAGAACACCAGUGGCGAAGGCGGUUCUCUGGGACGGUACUGACGCUGAGACGCGAAAGCGU
rnacentral:rRNA from 1 species